rnacentral:tRNA from 1 species
GGUGUAGCUCAGCGGUACAGCCCUUGCCUGGCAUGUGUGAGAUCCUGGGUUUGAUCCCCAGCAAAAACCA